GACACAAGUUAUGGGAAGAACUAUAAGGAAUGUCACCUCAAUGUCACUGCAGUGAAGGAUCGACCCGAACCUGAGACAACGAGUGACACCAGUCUGAGAAGGAUUGUUCUCUACUGUGUACUGGGACUGACAGCAGCUCUACUGGUUCCUUUAUUUCAUCUCUGCUUUGCAAACAAGACCAGUGAUCAGCAGAACAAACGAUACACCAGAAACACAAUUCAAGUUAUUGAUCCUUCAAGUGUUUGUACAGAAACAGUCUGAGUUGUUCUGACUGAAGUCAACGGGGUCGUUGUGGCGCAGAGGUUAGAGAAGGAAGUGUCAGGGAGACUGUGGGUUUAGAGUCCAACCAGAGGAUCAACGGUUCCAUCCCUGCUGACCCGCGUGUUGAUGAGCCCUUGAGCAAGACACUUAACCCAGCAUUGCUCCUGUAGCUGUGACCACAGAGUGAGAAUGGAGUGAAUAUUAGUUACUGACGGCAGGAAGAUGCUCAUCAGUGUGUGAGAGGAUCAAUGAUCUUAUAUAUUUAUAUAUAAUAUAUAAGACGUAAGUUGGAGGAAUGGAUGAAAAAGUGGACGUUAAAA